rnacentral:rRNA from 1 species
CAGUAGCCGCGGGAAUACAGAGGGUGCAAGCGUUAAUCGGAAUUACUGGGCGUAAAGCGCGCGUAGGCGGCUUUUUAAGUCGGAUGUGAAAUCCCUGAGCUUAACUUAGGAAUUGCAUUCGAUACUGGGAAGCUAGAGUAUGGGAGAGGAUGGUAGAAUUCCAGGUGUAGCGGUGAAAUGCGUAGAGAUCUGGAGGAAUACCGAUGGCGAAGGCAGCCAUCUGGCCUAAUACUGACGCUGAGGUACGAAAGCAUGGGGAGCAAACAGGAUUAGAUACCCCUGUAGUCCCUGUCUCUUAUAC